rnacentral:antisense_RNA from 1 species
CACUCGCCCUGGCCAUCGCGCAUAUCCAGGCGCGGAGCCGGAAAUGGAACGGGGGCCGGCUACGGCGCAGGGCGGGGAAGCUGGAGGGUCGGCAGUGCAUCAUGCGCUGCCGGCCCUUGUUGU